CUGCGUGCUUAACACAUGCAAGUCGAACGCUGAAGCCGACAGCUUGCUGUUGGUGGAUGAGUGGCGAACGGGUGAGUAACACGUGAGUAACCUGCCCCUGAUUUCGGGAUAAGCCUGGGAAACUGGGUCUAAUACCGGAUACGACCACCUGACGCAUGUUGGGUGGUGGAAAGUUUUUCGAUCGGGGAUGGGCUCGCGGCCUAUCAGCUUGUUGGUGGGGUAAUGGCCUACCAAGGCGACGACGGGUAGCCGGCCUGAGAGGGCGACCGGCCACACUGGGACUGAGACACGGCCCAGACUCCUACGGGAGGCAGCAGUGGGGAAUAUUGCACAAUGGGGGAAACCCUGAUGCAGCGACGCAGCGUGCGGGAUGACGGCCUUCGGGUUGUAAACCGCUUUCAGCAGGGAAGAAGCGAAAGUGACGGUACCUGCAGAAGAAGUACCGGCUAACUACGUGCCAGCAGCCGCGGUAAUACGUAGGGUACGAGCGUUGUCCGGAAUUAUUGGGCGUAAAGAGCUCGUAGGUGGUUGGUCACGUCUGCUGUGGAAACGCAACGCUUAACGUUGCGCGUGCAGUGGGUACGGGCUGACUAGAGUGCAGUAGGGGAGUCUGGAAUUCCUGGUGUAGCGGUGAAAUGCGCAGAUAUCAGGAGGAACACCGGUGGCGAAGGCGGGACUCUGGGCUGUAACUGACACUGAGGAGCGAAAGCAUGGGGAGCGAACAGGACUAGAUACCCUGGUAGUCCAUGCCGUAAACGUUGGGCACUAGGUGUGGGGGACAUUCCACGUUCUCCGCGCCGUAGCUAACGCAUUAAGUGCCCCGCCUGGGGAGUACGGUCGCAAGGCUAAAACUCAAAUGAAUUGACGG
rnacentral:rRNA from 1 species